AUGUUUCUAGACAUAUUUGGGACAGAGGAGCGUGAUCCGCUAAAAUUCAUCAACCAUAUACGAAAGGAGCUGUUGAACAUCUUCGUAGUUCCACCUAUCUUUUUUGCUAUUGAUCUUUCCCUAGUUGAUCCAGAGUCUACGGGAAUUGGUUCCGAUCCUACUAUUGUUUCCACUCCCGAUGACCUUGCAACUGAUUUACCCUGA